rnacentral:rRNA from 1 species
UACAUAGGGGGCAAGCGUUAUCCGGAAUUAUUGGGUUUAAAGGGUGCGUAGGCGGGACUGUAAGUCAGGGGUGAAAUACUGCAGCUUAACUGUAGCAUUGCCUUUGAAACUGCUGUUCUUGAGUACAGUUGAGGUAGGCGGAAUGUGGUGUGUAGCGGUGAAAUGCAUAGAUAUACCACAGAACUCCGAUUGCGAAGGCAGCUUACUAAGCUGUUACUGACGCUGAGGCACGAAAGCGUGGGGAUCAAACAGG